UUUUUCGCCUCAUUUCACUCUCCCAAACCCUAGAGACCCCUUCUCCUCUCUUCUUCCUCCGCCGCCACUACCCGUCCCCCACGGCGGCGGCGCCGUUCUCCGGUGGCCAAAUGCCCUCCAACCAAUGCCAAUCUCUUCCUCUCCUCUUCCUCUGCAUGAAUCCACAAACCAAAUCCCUUGAAUCCCUCCCAAACUCCAUGAAUAAACUAAAAUCCGAAACCCUAGCUCACUUUAUUUUGUAAAUUCGUCGAGUUUUAGACCUCUCCUUCAUAAAAUGCUUACAUAGGCAUGUAGAGCUCCACAUGAUCUAUCAUCCUAUAUUGGUUUCACCCCAAAACUUUGACAGAAACCCGACGCUGCCGUCCACCGUCACCACUACCUCACACCUCCACCCCACCACUGAUCCUCUUUUCUUUAGCCUAGUUCCAACCCAAGAACACCCGUUUUCUUUUAGUAUGACAUCGAGUUUAUUGAGCUUAGUGUCUACUAAAAUGGAACGAGUGUUCCACGAUCGGACAACCACUACUCGGGGUCCCCGGCAUCCGUCUCGUUGCUCGAUUUGGCAUUGAAUCCCUCCGUAUGGUAAAACAUCAAUUUCCUUUUCCUAUUUUAUCUUUUCUGAUUUUUUGAUUUUGUAUUCAGUAUUAUCUCUAAGGCUUAAUUCCCAUUCAUGUUGCUAUUAUUUGUGUACAAUUGAGCUAGGGUAGUAUUAGUUUUCAGUUACAUGCUUACUUUAUAAAUUUGAAUUUGGUUCUUCGACAUAGCCGGUCGAGUACGUCGUUAUUGUCUGUUAGUUCUGAAUUUUGGUUCUUCGACCUAGCCGUUCGACUAUUUUGUAUGAAUUUGUUAUGUUUGAAUUUUAAGUUCUUCGACCUAGUUGGUCGAUAGUUAAGUCUUUAUAUUAGUUUCAUAAAAAAUCAAAAAGAUUAAUUGAAUCAUUAUUUUUUUAGUCGUUGUUCAGUUGUUAUUAAUCAUUUUCUGUUUGUUUAAUGAUGCUCGUUUAACUUCUAUUUUGCACUUUAGUUUGUUAUCUCAAUCGCACAAAUCGAAUUGAUUUCAAUCUAUUUAGUUUGAAUACUUAGUUCGGUUAUAUUUUAAGUCUUGUUUCUGCUUUAUCAAUGCAUAGUUUGGUUUGUUUGAAGGUUUGUGUUUUGGAUUCAGCUAUUUGUUGAUAAAGUCAAAGGGUACUUGAGUGUAAGGUCCAUGUUUGAUUGUUUUUACUUCUUAAUAGUUAUUUUGAGCAUACUGUUCCAAACACUAUACACAUUUAAUAAAAAACUGUCCUUUAGACAAAUUUUUGGUAGAAAAUCUAUCAUUUGGAUAAGUUUGCAAUAAUAAUUGAAUUCCACCCUCUCCUAUAAAAGAGAGUCUUUCUUUCAAUUAACGAGAGAUUUUUUGAACACUCCAACACCCAAAAAGAAUAUCUUUACACACUAGACACAUCUUGAGAAUUUCUUGAACACACAAAAACAUAAAAAAUUUCAGCAGUUGAACACAUAAAAAGUAAGCUGAAAAUCAUGAGUUUUUGGUUGAGUCUUAGAGUGCAAAAUCUUUCAAAAACAUAUACGAGUCUUAGAGUUUGAUCCUUGAGUUCCUUCUCCUAAAGAAUCACUACUUUUAGUGAGACUUCUAGGAUGUUUUAACAUGGAUUCAUUGCUGUUUCAUCGAUGUUUCUGCUGUGUUUGCUACUGAUUUUCUACCCUUUUACUAUUGAAUUUCAUCUUGUUACAAAUCAGGUAAUCCUUGAACCUUUGUAUUUCAGAUUCUUGAUGACAAUGAAAAGAUUUGAACCCGUUUUAUUAGUGGAACAUGUAAUAUCUGAUUUUGUCCCAAGAUAAUUGUUGCAUCAAUAUUAUAGCAUGUAAAUAUGUUGUAUUUAGCUAUAACUUUUAUUUUUGUUCACAAAACAAUACUCUGUUAGUGUGUUAUUUAGUUGCUAAAGGGUCUAUUUCUUUUGUUU
rnacentral:lncRNA from 1 species